rnacentral:rRNA from 1 species
AAUAGAUACCCCGGUAGUCCACGCCGUAAACGAUGGAUGCUAGCCGUUGGCGAGCUUGCUCGUCAGUGGCGCAGCUAACGCAUUAAGCAUCCCGCCUGGGGAGUACGGUCGCAAGAUUAAAACUCAAAGGAAUUGACGGGGGGCCCGCACAAGCGGUGGAGCAUGUGGUUCAAUUCGAAGCAACGCGCAGAACCUUACCAACCCUUGACAUGUCCAGUAUGGGUUUCAGAGAUGAGACCCUUCAGUUCGGCUGGCUGGAACACAGGUGCUGCAUGGCUGUCGUCAGCUCGUGUCGUGAGAUGUUGGGUUAAGUCCCGCAACGAGCGCAACCCUCGCCCUUAGUUGCCAUCAUUUAGUUGGGCACUCUAGGGGGACUGCCGGUGAUAAGCCGCGAGGAAGGUGGGGAUGACGUCAAGUCCUCAUGGCCCUUACGGGUUGGGCUACACACGUGCUACAAUGGCGGUGACAAUGGGAUGCAAAGGCGCGAGCCCUAGCUAAUCUCAAAAAGCCGU